rnacentral:tRNA from 1 species
CGAUAGCUCAGUUGGUAGAGCACGCGGCUGUUAACCGCGCUGUCGUAGGUUCGAGUCCUACUCGGGGA